rnacentral:rRNA from 1 species
AUUGAACGCUGGCGGCAGGCUUAACACAUGCAAGUCGAACGGUAACAUAAAGAAGCUUGCUUCUUUGAUGACGAGUGGCGGACGGGUGAGUAAUGCUUGGGAAUCUAGCUUAUGGAGGGGGAUAACUACGGGAAACUGUAGCUAAUACCGCGUAGAAUCGGGAGAUGAAAGUGUGGGACCUUCGGGCCACAUGCCAUAGGAUGAGCCCAAGUGGGAUUAGGUAGUUGGUGAGGUAAAGGCUCACCAAGCCGACGAUCUCUAGCUGGUCUGAGAGGAUGACCAGCCACACUGGGACUGAGACACGGCCCAGACUCCUACGGGAGGCAGCAGUGGGGAAUAUUGCGCAAUGGGGGCAACCCUGACGCAGCCAUGCCGCGUGAAUGAAGAAGGCCUUCGGGUUGUAAAGUUCUUUCGGUAGCGAGGAAGGCAUUUAGUUUAAUAAACUGGAUGAUUGACGUAA